CGGCACCGCUCAAACGUCAAAUUUUCUGUGAGAGUAAGCAGGCCAGCAUAAAUUCGUGCAGUGGAUUUACCGGCUACUAGAAUUGGCUUUCAAGGGCAAAACAAAACAUACUGUUACCCAUCUUUGUUUCGGUAGCGCAACUACCGAACUGAUGAUGUUUACCUUUUUUCACAUACCUAUCAACAUAAUCUGUUGGGGGAAUUAUUUUAUUUUUCCUACUUACAACCCACAUCCGACAAUUUUUUUUAAGUGGGAAUGGUAGAACUUUUGAUUCCCUCGGUCGCACGUACAUUAGUUUUGCAUUUUGUUUCACCAUUUCCGUGAAAAAUGAGAUCCGGCUUGUGCAAGUGAGGAGUUGAGGUUAGAAUUGUAGGAUAUUCUAGGUUAGAUUUGCUAUCCACUUGGCCUGAACGAUUUUCAGACCCAGAAAUAUCGUACUUCUAAUUAGUUUUCACUGCCGUAAAAAAUACUGUUAUGCUCAGAAUAAACAGUUAUACCUUCGGAUCACACUCAUUUACUCGUAAAUCUCAAUCUGACUGUAAAAAUAAUGAAUUUCUUUCCAAUGUUUUGAAACCCCGAACGAAUUUGACAUUGCUUUCGGGAAGCAUCACCACGACGACGACAACACUCCCAAGCGGUCGAAUCGUCGUUUUGGGGGCGAAUCGAGGAAGUCCUAAACCAAACUGAAUCGAUCAAACUUUUUCCACUCUGGCACGCUACGGUUCCGAAUGCGAGUAAAGCCUGGAACACAUAGCGUCCGUUCCGUCGAGGUUUGCGUUUUUUUGACAGUUUUCCCCGAGGUUUUCCCAUGGGAAAUGUUUCAAACUACUGUCACGCACACGCAAACGUAUGCAUUGUGUGGGGCACUUAACUUUGGCAAGAGUCUGAAAAGGCCAGUUUGACAUCGAUUCAAGUGUGGGCAAGCAUUUAUUUUCUCACUCUGGUAAGCCACGGUUCCGAAUACGAGUAACUUUGGCAUGAGUCUAGAAAAAUAUAAAUACAUUGCGAUCAACUUAACCCGCAUAGAAACUUACUGUACCCAAUACUGUUAAAACCAUUUUGUAACCAAUCGUAUUGUUGUUACCUAUUCGUUAUACAUUCCACCUAUGGUCUACUUGUUACGGUACAAUAACAUUGUGACAGUUAGUACAACUUUAACAUUAGUCAAUAAUUUCCAUUUAUUGUUGAAAAUAAUCCCACUGUGAGUAGACUUUAUCGAACAUCAGUCCAACCAUAUCUAUUGAUGUUCGUUCCCGACUUCGGUCUGCCGACCCAUGACGAACAGAAAAAUUGUCAGCCAUGUUUGUUUACAAAAAUUUUGCUUCAAAAAUUCCCUCCGCGAUUUUAAUGGAUUAUUAGUUUGAAAAACACUUCUGGCACAAGUACUGUUAGUGAACUACGUGGAGCAGCAAGUGCAUUGCGUUCGCCGGUACGGGAUCGGAUGAAAACCUUGGAUGUUCCUUCACAUUUUCCAGCCAAUUGGACAAAGAUCCGACAGGGCUUUCGCUACCUUUCUACAUGUUCCACCGCAGUUUCUAGACAACUGGGAUUGUUUCGUAAACAAGUGUUAAGUAGAUUUGAAGUAAUUUUAUUAGAGUAUUUUACUGCAGCCUGCAUAGUCUCUACAUAAUACAAAGUUUGAUCAGUUGCCAGAUAAUAUGUUUUUGGUGCUCGGUUGUGCCAUUAUAUUGUAUAAGCUUGUGUGAUAUUUUCAAUAAAUCUAAGAUAAUUCGAAAAAGGGUGUUUUAAUAUAUAUUUUUUUUAUAAAAUGAAGAAAAAACAAAAUCCAUCUUAAACCACACCACGUAAUGUUGUUUGAUAUUGUUAUAUUGUUAUCGUACCAUAGAUUCAACUUUCCAGUAGUAAAAUUUUCAACCAUAUUGGAUAUGCUUUUGUUACGGUGGGCAAUUCAAAUUUGUAUGAGAAAAAUCCAAUUUUGAAACGGUAAACAUUCUUAACGACCCGUUGUUCGUAUGGUCGGGUCUUCAAAAACAUCACUCAUUACUGUCAGAACAUUAUUCAGCAAUGGUCGGCUUACGGUCGGGUGUACCAUUUUGAUUAUGGUUGAAGAU